AUGUUAUGCAACUUUGUGGUGUCGACAAGUAUGCAGCUGAUGCUUAUGCAAUAUUUUGUGCGGGUAGGGCAAGGGAGAUGGUACCUGAUGAUCACAACAGAUGGAUUAGUUCAGUUCCAGUACAUGAUUAGUGAAGUGCAAGGGGAAACAGAUGUGGGUGACGCCAUGCAGUCCUAGAUGGGAUAAUUUUACAUUCCAACUAGGGUUGGUUUUGUAUGGUUCAUGUACCUCGGAUACUUUUCUCC